rnacentral:rRNA from 1 species
CAGUCGCCGCGGUAAUACAGAGGGUGCGAGCGUUAAUCGGAUUUACUGGGCGUAAAGCGUGCGUAGGCGGCUUCUUAAGUCGGAUGUGAAAUCCCUGAGCUUAACUUAGGAAUUGCAUUCGAUACUGGGAAGCUAGAGUAUGGGAGAGGAUGGUAGAAUUCCAGGUGUAGCGGUGAAAUGCGUAGAGAUCUGGAGGAAUACCGAUUGCGAAGGCAGCCAUCUGGCCUAAUACUGACGCUGAGGUACGAAAGCAUGGGGAGCAAACAGGAUUAGAGACCCCUGUAGUCCCUGUCUCUUAUAC